rnacentral:rRNA from 1 species
CCCUUAGAUGUUCUGGGCCGCACACGCGCUACACUGAUGCAUUCAACAAGUUUUACCUUGGCCGAGAGGCCUGGGAAAUCUUUCAAAUAUGUAUCGUGAUAGGGAUAGAUUAUUGCAAUUAUUAAUCUUGAACGAGGAAUUCCUAGUAAAUGCAGAUCAUCAUUCUGCGUUGAUUACGUCCCUGCCCUUUGUACACACCGCCCGUCGCACCUACCGAUUGAAUGAUCCGGUGAAGCCUCGGGAUUGUGCCCAGAGAACUUUAUUGUGAUUUGGGUGUGAGAACUUGUCUAAACCUUAUCAUUUAGAGGAAGGUGAAGUCGUAACA